CAUCGUGAGGUGGAAUCUGAAGGAAGCCGGCGGCAAACGGUUGGCCCGAUGAACAAGAACUUGGUAGAAGGCUAGAAGGCAGGGGUAAUGCUGCAACAGAAGCAAAAGCCCGAUAACUAUCCGAACUGACGACAGUAAACCAAGCGGGUAUAAACCGGAAAGA
rnacentral:ncRNA from 1 species